rnacentral:rRNA from 1 species
CGGGGUGCAGCAGGCGCGAAAACUUUGCAAUACACGAAAGUGUGACAGGGCUAUCCCGAGUGCCAUCCGCUGAGGAAGGCUUUUACCCAGUCUAGAACGCUGGGGGAAUAAGGAGAGGGCAAGUCUGGUGUCAGCCGCCGCGGUAAUACCAGCUCUCCGAGUGGUGUGGAUGUUUAUUGGGCCUAAAGCAUCCGUAGCUGGCUAAGUUAGUCCCUUGUUAAAUCCACCGAAUUAAUCGUUGGAUUGCGGGGGAUACUGCUUGGCUAGGGGACGAGAGAGGCAGACGGUAUUUCCGGGGUAGGGGUGAAAUCCUAUAAUCCCGGGAAGACCACCGGUGGCGAAGGCUGUCUGCUAGAACGCGCCCGACGGUGAGGGAUGAAAGCUGGGGGAGCGAACCGGAUUAGAUACCCGGGUAGUCCCAGCUGUAAACGAUGCAGGCUAGGUGUUUGGACGGCCACGUGCCGUUCUAGUGCCGCAGGGAAGCUGUUAAGCCUGCCGCCUGGGGAGUACGAUCGCAAGAUUGAAACUUAAAGGAAUUGGCGGGGGAGCAC